CUUGUAGUCCUCGGAUGACCUUGAACUGGAAACAGAUGAAUGUCGAGAAUAAUUUGUGGAAAUGUGGCUGAUAGAUGGCGUUCGCUUGCUGGCCCACCGACUAUUCAGUGAAGGAAGGGAGAAGUCUCGUCAGAGACUCCGAUCUGGUGUGUCACACGUGGGUCGCCUCGUCUCAGUCCGCCAUGAAAAGAAAAAGAUAACCGCGUAUCCACCUAAAUCCAGCCCGUCAUCGUCUCAUCGUCGUCUUCGUUUCAUCGUCUCAACGCCGUCUUCGUCUCUUCGUUUCAUUUUCCACCUCGUCUGGAAAAUGGCUUCUUUAAACCCAGCAAACAGUAUCUUGCCAGUUGCGUUUAUCUCACGCAAACCUUGGCAGUUGAAUAUAUAAACAGUGGACUUCCCUCUAAGACAGUACCGCAUUCCAGCGUUUACCAGCGAACGUAGCAGACAUGUCGCGCAGUCACUUUUUCUUGGUCGCUUUGUUCCUCGCUGUGCUAGUGGCGUAUUGCUCCGCCAUACCAGUUGAAGUCGGAAGAGUCUGCAGUUUCCGCCGUAGUCUCAACAGAUCCAACAGUUGAAAAUGCAAGACCUAAACGACAGUUUGUUGCUGGACUCUUGAUAGGAAAAGCUCUUGGAGCUGGAUACGGUUAUGGAUUAGGUCGUUCAGCUUACUAUGGCGGAUAUGGAUACUCCUAUCGUGGCUAGCGGCUACCCUGGUCCUUACGGCGAUUACGGAUACGGAGGCUACCAUUACUGGUAUGUAUUUCAACAUUUGCUUUUCGAAAUAAACGAGCUGAUUUACAGGAUCGAAUAAUUCCGAGCCAGUGCCAUUUUAGAACGUUACUGCAUUCAACAUUUCCCACAGAACGACUGGAAUGAACGGACAGAAUAAAUUUGUUAUCAGCACCUCCAUAUAAGGAAAAUUUAACAUUUCUCCAAGACUUGCUAUUGUAAAACGUGCGGAAUAGACCUGAUGCAUGACGUCUGAAAAAACUAGGAUCCGCUCUUGGAGACCGUUUGUCACUUUUUUCACGGCCAUCCUGCGGUCAUCACUUCCACAUACGUAGGCGCCAUGUGUGAUACGACGUCCCAGGACCAAUGAGCUCCAUGAGCGUCACAACAACACCACAUCAAGCAUUGCAGCUGGCAAAAUGGCAUGAGAGGUGAUGCUUUCGCGUCUUAUUCCUUGUUGGGUUUCGACCCUCCUUCCAGCACAACGAUAUGAGUCGCCUGGUAUUCGUACUCAGGGAGGACACUCGCCUAAAGAGACAAUUUGGCGGCGCGCAUGGAUUGUUAAACGGGUUUUUGUAUGGAUACGGUUAUCCUGGAUACGAAUAUGGACGCUAUUCGUAUUACGGCUAUCAGUAACCUUACGUUGGACCAGCUUAUGGACCAUAAGAUUAUUAUGGUCAUCGUUGGAAUGAAUACAGAUUGUGAAAUUCUUAAAAGAAAAUUACUGCACACACGACGAGGAACUAUUUUUAUGAAAAAGAGGUAAAAGUGGAUUAAUUAUGCUUAGCUUGUUUUGGUGAUGGUUCAGAUUUAAAUGUUGAGCAUGGAUGUUGAUUAAUACUGUAAUAGAAUAAAUGAAAUUUGGAAGUA